GGGGAAAGAAAGAGUUCCAGUGGCAGGGAGCUUAGUUGCUUUUGACAAGAAGGGAAACACAGACCUCCUAAUUAGCAGUGCAGUUAAAGAAGGGCUGUCAUUUCUACACAGCUCCUUUUGGACACAAAGGAUCAGGUUCCAUGCAGAUUCCCCAUCAGGUUUAGCAACUACCUGGUUACACCAAUGGAAAUGAGUGGAGGACGGCAUCCAGCAGAUCGGCCUCUCUUAAGAAAACAAGUCAAACAACAAACUGAGUUCCUUGAAAGUCAGGAUGUUCCCAAGGGAUUCAGAGUUACUUUAAUGAGAACAUCACCUAGCCUCUCACAAGUUUUGCAGUGCACAGUGCACUGGGCCUUUGACUCAAGGGCAACCCUGGCCAAUGGGAGAGAGAAACCUCAACAUGAAACAAUU